CCUGUCCCUAGAGACAAUGCAUACAUGGCUGCUGUGUCACAUGUGUGUCAAUAGGUGGCAUAGAGGACACAGGCUUUGUCUAUCUUCAGUGUUCUGCCCUGUGAACACCUGAAUGUUUAGUACACUAAGACU